rnacentral:rRNA from 1 species
AUUGAACGCUGGCGGCAGGCCUAACACAUGCAAGUCGAGCGGAUGAGUGGAGCUUGCUCCAUGAUUCAGCGGCGGACGGGUGAGUAAUGCCUAGGAAUCUGCCUGGUAGUGGGGGACAACGUUUCGAAAGGAACGCUAAUACCGCAUACGUCCUACGGGAGAAAGCAGGGGACCUUCGGGCCUUGCGCUAUCAGAUGAGCCUAGGUCGGAUUAGCUAGUAGGUGAGGUAAUGGCUCACCUAGGCGACGAUCCGUAACUGGUCUGAGCGGAUGAUCAGUCACACUGGAAUUGAGUGACGGUCCAGGCUCCUACGGGAGGCAGCAGUGGGGAAUAUUGGACAAUGGGCGAAAGCCUGAUUCAGCCAUGCCGCGUGUGUGAAGAAGGUCUUCGGAUUGUAAAGCAAUUUAAGUUGGGAGGAAGGGCAGUAAGUUAAUACCUUGCUGUUUUGACGUUACCAACAGAAUAAGCACCGGCUAACUUCGUGCCAGCCGCCGCCGUAACAC